CAGCCGCCGCGGUAAUACGAAGGGGGCUAGCGUUGCUCGGAAUGACUGGGCGUAAAGGGCGCGUAGGCGGCAUGUACAGUCAGACGUGAAAUUCCUGGGCUUAACCUGGGGGCUGCGUUUGAUACGUGCAGGCUAGAGUGGGGAAGAGGGUUGUGGAAUUCCCAGUGUAGAGGUGAAAUUCGUAGAUAUUGGGAAGAAUACCGGUGGCGAAGGCGGCAACCUGGUCCUUGACUGACGCUGAGGCGCGAAAGCGUGGGGAGCAAACAGGAUUAGAUACCCGGGUAGUCCCUGUCUCUUAUAA
rnacentral:rRNA from 1 species